rnacentral:lncRNA from 1 species
GGGCCGGGUAAGGUCCAGCCGUAUCCGCCUCCUUCAUGUCCCGCUGUGGGAGGGGCUCUGGAGCGCCGGGACUGUGAGAUGGCCAAUGACGGUCUGACCCGUUGGGCCGGGCCAGGUCGCGGACAACGUCGACCGUUUGUUUAAGAAGCGUGGACUCUUGUCCUGAGUGCACCGAGGCUUUCAGCCUGCGGGACAGUGGUGCGAUUUGCAUUAGAGAAAGGGAGAUGCCAUGUGCUGGCCCAGCACUCCAACAGGGGCCUGACCUCUAGGAACGGGACACUGGAGGAAGCCUAGACAUCUGAACAAAUCAAGUCAUCCAGAUCCACGGUCAGCUCCUGCCCCGACUUGGCCUUCCUCCUGCUGGGCUGGCCCACGGACCUCGGGAACCUGCCCUGGCUGUGGGUGACCUGCAGCCUAUCUCCCAGGACUAUGGAAGCCCCAUGCAGGAACAUGGUUCUGACACUUUGGGGAUUAUACCCUAAGCUUAAAGGACUGGAAAAGCCCCUGAAGUCCCGAGACCACAACCCUCCACCUUCUAAAGAUAAGACAAGUCACUGAAGGUCUCAGAACUGUGGCCCAUUCACCCCUUCCCUCAAGACAAGAGUGUGGCCAAGCAUCAAUCUCACCCCCAGAGACCAGACGGUGUCCAGGUCUUGGGCAGACGAAACCUGCUCCUUGGGGAUGGUCUUCCUGGCUGUGCUUCCAAAGGGCUGGCCUGCAAUCAGCUGGUUUUCACUUGAUCCUUUCGGGGUUUGCAUUAUAUCUGACUGAAGGAAUGAACUGGGAGAGAACAGCAGAGCCGCAGCGGAAUGUGGAAAGGCCCACGUCCAGACUGUUCCCAUUCUGAUUUAAAAGCCUGAUGAAGGAACAGCUGAACUCAGAGAAACAGCAGGAAGCUGAUUACUCUAGGUACCUAUGAGGGUGGAGUCAUACAGUAUUUGUUUUUGUGACUGGCUGAUUUCACUCAGCGUAAUGUCUUCGAGGUCCAUUCAUGUUGUGAGGGAUGAAGGAGGAGAUUUUACUGCAUACAGAGGAGAAGGUGAUGUGAAGAUGGAGCAGAGAGAGACCUGAAGAUGCUGGCGUUGAAGGCUGCAGGGAUGCAGCCACAAGCCAAGGAGUGCCUGCUCUCACCAGAAGCUGAAAGAGGCAAGGAAUGUCUUCUUCUAUAGAACCUACAGAGGGAGUACCCUGCCAACACCUUUAUUUGGGCCCAGUGAUACUAUCAGACUUCAGACUUCUGGCCUUCAAAACUGCCAGAAAAUACAUUUCUGUCAUUUUAAACUACUACGUUUAUGGUGAUUUGUUACAGCAGCCACAGGAAAUUAAUCCAGCCACUUUAUGUCCAAAAUGAGGUUAAUAAUAGGGAACCUGUAAGUGCAUGCCUUGUUUCAAGUUUACCAGAGAUGCCACAUCCUUCCUGGUGUCUCUGUGGGUUUGCUUCCUAAGAUUCCAAUCAACCCUUGCACCCGGUGAUCAACUUUCCAACUGUCUUUCAGAAAAUGAUUAACUUCUGUUUUUUAACUAAGUCGUCCCCAGCAAACCAUAUUUUUGUGAAAGCUUACUGUUCAUUUCUGCAGGCCUGAAGGGAGGUGGGGCUAGUAAGUCUCAGCCCCUUCUCUGCAAGCCUGCUCUAAACAGCAGUGACAGACAUGGCAUGGUCCACCUUCUAGUCAUUAGAUAUAAUGCCAAGAUAAACAAGUUUGAUUGAUACCCUGGGGUGAAAUUCCUUUUUGCACUCCAGGUACUGAGGAGAAGGCAUUGUGUAUGGGACACUGGAAGAGGUAUGGGACUGUGUGAAGCCGGCUGUUGGGCAUGGUCCACCUUCUAGUCCUUAGAUAUAAUUCCUUUUUGGGCUCCAAGUACUGAGGAGAAGGCAUUGUAUAUGGGACACUGGAAGAGGUGUGGGACUGUGUGAAGCCGGCUGUUGGGCAUGGUCCACCUUCUAGUCCUUAGAUAUAAUGCCAAGAUAAACAAGUUUGAGUGAUACCCUGGGGUCAAAUUCCCUUUUGUGCUCCAGGUACUGAGGAGAAGGCAUUGUAUAUGGGACACCAGAAGAGGUGUGGGACUGUGUGAACCCGGCUGUCGGGGGCCUGUGAGAGAAGGGGGAUGAGAAUGUGAUUGGUUUUGAAAUGAUCUAAAAUAGAAACUCCACAGAUGGCCUCUGAGAAAUUGAGACUCCAUUCUGUAAAAAGGCACAGAGUCAUAGAACUGUAGCGCUAGAAAGACUCUGGUCACCUGGCUCAAUCCCCUGUUCUACAAAAGACGGGUCAGAGGCCUCAAGAGAUACGACUCUCCAAGGCUGUCCAACCCAUAGGUAGGAAAACUGGGACUUUUUGAAGUGUUUCUGUGAGAAUGAAAAUAAAUAGCUGUAAAAGGCUCAGAAUAGUGUUUGAUGUAGUAAGUGUUCAAAAUGUUUGAUUGUGAUAGGUUUAUUUAAAACAUUGGGCCACCUAAAUUUCCAACAUCAAAAGUGAAGUAACAAGAAUGCUAAUGAAAUACAACGUUUUAUCUAAAAUAAUGCAAUCAUCAGAGCCUUUCUGUUCCAUCUGCCUCUGUGACUACUGCCCAGUCCAAGCCGCCAUUGCCUAGAUUGUCGUAGCAGCCUCCUCAUCGUUGUCCUGUUUCUUUUGACGACUUCCAAAGACUAUUUCCCGCCCAGCUACAUCCCAUUCUCCUCACAGCAGCCAGAGAAUUUUUUUUUGUAAAAAAUGUAAGUCAAAUCAGGUGCCUUCUCUUCUAGAAACCUCCAGUGGCUCCUUUUCUCAGUCAGAGUAAAAUCCACAUCCUUACCCAGAGCUACAUAGCCCAACAAGAGGGACCCUGUGCUGCACCCUGGAGCUCUUCUCCUGUAAUUUGAGUGUCUUGCCUACCCUGCUCUGGCCACACUGGCCUCCUUGCUGUGCCCAAAUACUCCAGGCCUGUGGCCUUGGGGUCUUUACGUGUGUCUUUUGCCUUGGUUGGAAUGCUUUUUCCCUGCAUGCUCAGUUACCUGCUCCCUUUCCUCCUUCAAGUCUCUUCUCAAAUGUUGCCCUAUCAGAGGGUAUUUUUGGCCACCCUACAUACCAGAGCAAACCACCAGCCCUCAUUGGCUGCCUAUCACGCUUUAUUUUUCUUUAUAGCAUUUAUCCCCACCAGAUAUUAAAUAUAUACAUAUUUACACCUUGCUAGUCUAUCUGUUCAGUACUAUACUUUUACAUGAAAGUAAAAAACAAACAAGAGACAGUUUACAUAUUAUAUCUUUCUUUUAAAAAAACAUAACUUACUCUAUUUGGGUGAAUAAAUGACAAUUGAGCCUAUGAUUUGUUCUGUGUCUACUAAGAAUCUAAUUUGUCAACCAAAAUAAUCUUCCUGGGGAGAUGCAGUGAACACUAUGCUGCACACAUAAACACAUUGCAUCACUCCAUGUAGAUUAUUUUGGUUGAUAAAUUAGAUUCUUAAGAGGCUUGGGGGUCAAAUACUCCAGGCAUUAAAUGUCAGUUCUACUGCUUGCUAGCUAGAGUACUUCCACAGUGAAAGCUAGGGAGCUUUUACUGACUGUCCCUGAGUCAUUAUUUCCUUAUUUACAAAACAGAAAUAACUUUGCAACGUUGUAAAGAUUAGCAAAAUUGUAUAGGAAAGGCCUACCACAGUGCAUAGGGCGUAGUAGGAAACUAAAAACUGAGAAGGAUGUUUAUUCUUGUGUCUAUAAUAGUAGUGUCAUUUAAACCCCACCAUGAAAGCAUGGCCAGAAUGGUUUAAGUAAUUUCUUAUGAAAUAUGUGAUAGCCAUUAUUAUCAUCAUUCUUGACAUUAUUUUAAAAUCAGCAUUAAAGUUUGGUAAGAAUGCUUUGAGAUGAAUUAUUUUUUGCAAACUGAACUGAUUCAUGUAGAGAACUGCAAACAAAAUAUUUUGCCAAUAUACUGAUUAACGACAUAACAUACACACUAUGUGUGCUCUUUAAUCCAGCUCCAAAUGCAAAUAAAACUUUAAAAAUGCCCUCUCCUGUCUAAGAAACAAGCCCAAACAGUAGCCAAGUACAUAUAUAGAAUUUAACUCGGGGUGUCUGAAUUUACUGUAGUUGCCCAUGGAUGGGAGAAGCAGCCUGCCAAGGCCCAGAGAUGCAGGGUUUAAUUCCCAGAGCUCACGGGAAGCCGGCUGAUUGGUGAACGCGCCCGCACUGUGUAAUUGAACAUGUGCUCCCAGCCCAACUGCAGGAAGGAUGAAAUUUGUUAAGUGGUAUCUUUCAUGAGAUUAAAAAAGGAAGAUAAACUGUCACUGGUUAUGAUAGGGUCUUAUUAAAUUUCUGCCCUACUAAUUUGGAAACUGUGAUAAUCCAGACUUGGCAUAUAUGAUACAGAACAAAAAAGUGGAAUUAAAUGCUGACACUUGGAAAUUUUACAUUAUGGUGCACCCCUAGAUUCUAGGGCUCGUUGUUGACUUAAGUCUAUUUUGUUUCAAUUCUGUGUAUCUAUUUUUAACCCUUAGGUGCCAUCUGCUUGAGCGUUGUCCUGGUUCACUUCCAGUAUAAAGCUCAGAGUGCAGGAAUAAUAUCCAAGUGCCAGCAAAACCACUUGGGUGGUCGCAAAAUGGAGUGAGGAGGAUCAUGAGGGCUGUGUUUCUGAAGAACCCACAGGGGGAGGCAGCAGGGAUGAACUGCAAAAAAGUGGCAGUCUAUGCUGCACACAUCAGCCCCACAAAAGAAUAACAAAAUCCAGGAGCAGAGAGCUGAGCUACCGUAACUGAGAAUGGCUCCGCAGUGGGGAUGGUUUGAGAACCGUGACCUGGGUCUAGAUGGCCCCUCUUGGAGCUCACUGGGACCCUGCAUACAUUCCCUGCCUAUUGACCUCACACAGCAGUGGCUUAGCUCGGCUGAGAGGAGAACUGUCUGUUCCUCUUUGUUGGUUUAACCAUAUGAUACACAAUCCUGUAAACAAAUUAAUUUCCUCUGGGACUUCUGAAAGCAUGCUAACUGCAUUAUCAUUUUUUUCUGCACAAAGGAAGCUUAGCAAGAAAACAAUUAUGGGAUGGACUUCAAAUGAUCUCCAAAUGGCCAUAAAAUAGAGAUGUAGUCAACAGAGAGGCAGGAGAAAAAAAAAUUAACAAGGUUUUGUUUGCUAAAAUCUAGGAUUCAUUUGAUUUUAAAGCUGUGUGACCCACUUCCAUUCUUUCUCCCUUCCAUCAGCUUUCUGCACAAACCUUUUGCCACCCUCAUUUUUAACAUUUGUAUUCCUCCUCUACUGCCCAGAGCCUUUCUACUCUGUGUUCUCCAAUUCAUCCUAAAAUCAAGACCAAGGUAGAAUUCUCGAACUUGGCCUAUUCUGAAAAAAAUGGACAUGGCUGGGACAGAGAGCUUGUGUGAAUAUUCCCAAUUGGUAAGGAAUGAGUUUGCACACUCAUUUAUUCUGCCAUCAAGCAUUUACUGGCUGUCUGGUUUGUGCCUGACCCUAUGCACUUCCUUAGGGAAUGGAAUAAAAAAAAAUACAUGAUCUUCUCCUUAAAGCAACUUGAUGCUUGAUAGAAUGACAGACAAAGCAAGAAUUGAAACAGAGUGAGGUGACUGCUGUGAUGGGUGAAUGCUUAGAGCUAGGGAGGGGUAGAAGAGGAGAGAGAAGGAGUAUUGCUUAGUUUGGGUCUUGAAAGAUAAGUUACUGUUCUUAAACUACAGUAGUAUACUGUUGAGGGGCACAGAUGGACCAUUCAAGACAGAAAGCUGCAAUGGCCUGUGGGGACAGGCGGAAACUGCCACCCUCCUCCAGUCACUCAGGCCCUAAACCAUAGCUGUGACAGUCUAUCAACUUACAUUCCAACCUCACCUGCAGGACACAAGGGAGAGAGUUGCCAAAGAGGUGGCUGUAGGUAAUGGGGUAUAUACAUUUGGAUACUGGACACAGAGAAGACACAGAUCCAAAGUCUCAUUGGGAUAAGGAAGUUAGGAGAGCUUGAGUUUCCUUGUUCUUAUUAAAAUAUAUGAACACUCCUUCAUUGAUUAUCAAUACCAUCCUGUCUGAAUGCAGACAUCUGGUAGUGGUCUCAUGUCUUCAGCAGGAACUCCCUUCUUUUCUAUCCUAGCCUCCUGUCCACAUCCCAAUAGGCUUAGUGAGUCUUUUGGGUAGAAAAAAAUCUUAGAGCCUUUUAUUCCAAAUCCCUCCUGAUAAGUGAAAGAAGCCAGUCUUAAACAGCUACAUACUGAGCCAGGCAUGGUGGCUCAUGCCUGUAAUUGCAGCACUUUGGGAGGCUGAGGCGGGUGGAUCACUUGAGGUCAGGAGUUCCAGACCAGCCUGGCCAACAUGGCGAAACCCCAUCUCUACCAAAAAUACAAAAAUUAGCUGGGUGUGGUGGCGGG